CAGUCGCCGCGGUAAUACGAAGGGUGCAAGCGUUACUCGGAAUUACUGGGCGUAAAGCGUGCGUAGGUGGUGGUUUAAGUCCGUUGUGAAAGCCCUGGGCUCAACCUGGGAAUUGCAGUGGAUACUGGGUCACUAGAGUGUGGUAGAGGAUAGUGGAAUUUCCGGUGUAGCAGUGAAAUGCGUAGAGAUCGGAAGGAACAUCUGUGGCGAAGGCGACUAUCUGGGCCAACACUGACACUGAGGCACGAAAGCGUGGGGAGCAAACAGGAUUAGAUACCCGGUAGUCCCUGUCUCUUAUACC
rnacentral:rRNA from 1 species